UACGUAGGGUGCAAGCGUUGUCCGGAAUUAUUGGGCGUAAAGAGCUCGUAGGCGGUCUGUCGCGUCGGCUGUGAAAACUCGGGGCUCAACUCCGAGCUUGCAGUCGAUACGGGCAGGCUAGAGUUCGGCAGGGGAGGACUGGAAUUCCUGGCGUAGCGGUGAAAUGCGCAGAUAUCAGGAGGAACACCGGUGGCGAAGGCGGGUCUCUGGGCCGAUACUGACGCUGAGGAGCGAAAGCGUGGGGAGCGAACAGG
rnacentral:rRNA from 1 species